GCCCUUGUGGCGCAAUCGGUAGCGCGUAAGACUUCUAAUCUUAAGGCUGUGGGUUCGACCCCCACCAGGGGCU